UUUUUUAAUAUAUAUCUUUUAGUCUAGUUUUUAGACUGUUUGGAAGCUCAAUGCGGCCACACCACACUUCCUGUUACAUUGCAUAGCAUACCCCCGGUGGAGGCUGACGAGUGGGCUAGCCUGUCUCACCCGAUUAAUCCCUAAGGGCUUGUUUGGAAGGCCACUUUCUCGUGGAGAAAUCAUACUUUUUCCUAGGUCCAAAGCUCACGUGGAAAUAUACCCGAGAUAUACUUUUUGGUCCAUUUGGAAGACAAACACCCCGGUCCAGUCCUCCCCCGAUGCUGAGGGAUACCCGUGGAAGCCCUCAUGGCCACCUGAGGCCGGGCAACCUUCCCCAGUUUGGAAGGGACACAAGCGGAUCCGAGCAACCACGCCCUCCGCCGCCACUAUCGUCCACACCGCUGCCAUCCGCUCUGCUGCCGCUCCAUCGUCGUCCUUCCCCGACGCAGUCGCGAGCGGGACGUGAGGCGACAGUGCCCUCCACCACCGCCACCGUCUCGGAUUUGUCGCCCUCCGCCGCCAUCUCUGCCCUCGGUUCACUGUCCUCCACCGUCGUCUUCCGCGACACGAUGUACAAUACAAUGUUGUCUCCAAGACACAGUACAUGGUCUUCUCCAAGAUCCAGUACAAGGUCGUCUCCUCCAAGAUCCAAACCCCAACGCUAGUGAGCAGCCGAAGACUUCUUUUCUGCUAUGCUUGAUUGAGAGGGCUGUGUCUGCACCCAGUUCUGCCUGUGGCUUGGGCUAGUAUUUUCUUCUUACUGCGCUUCUUAAAAUUUGGCUCUCUCGAGCUUGUACCCCCGGUAUUGUAAUAACCUUUAUUUAAACUCUGUACUAUUUGAAGUAAGGAAUGUGUUUACUAGCCUCCUGGGACUAGUAAUUUGUAUCACAUUUGAGUCCCAAAGGAUCGGGACGCUUCACGUGGUAUCAGAGCCCAUAGGACUGGCCGUAGGACGCAGCCCUGACCUUAAAAACUUGCCCUAAAAAGAAAGUACCUCUUACCUCAAGAAAAGUUUUCUCUUCCCUUCCCCGGUUUUAACAAGACCCUUCUUUUCCUAUUCCAGAUGGAAGACUCUCUGGCCAUUAAGUCAUCCUACUGCUCAGAAGUGGAGGGGUUCCCAUGCCUCUUGCGAAGCUGUGCGCUUCGCAUGGGAAUCCGCAAGAAGCCGGAAUACGUCUGGACGGAGCAUAUCGAAGGCGGAAUGAAAAGAUGCUCUAUGGCAGUCUACCUGGGGGAAAGCCAAAGCUAUCCAAACCAACGUUCCUUCCAAGUCACUUUUACCGGAGACCAUUUCCUAGAUGCUUGCCAAAAUGUCGCCCGAAAAGCCCUCCGAAAACUGUGUCAGAACUACAACAAAGUAAUCAUUGAAACCCCCCUUCGCUACUUUCCACCCAGCAACAAGAAUACCCCCACCUGGAGGAAAAGACUUCAGGCCCUAUCAGGAGGAGAUCCUAUUGAGAAUGAUCCCACCAUUGUCUACAUGGCUGGAUACCUUCACACCCUUGAUAACCAAUAUGAUGACCUUGCCCUCCACCGCACCUCCCUAACCUCCCGGGUGGAAAGCCUGGAGCAAAAAGUCAGGGAACUUUCAGAAGAAAAAGCGUCCCUUCAAGAGAGCCUCUUGAUAGCUGAAGGCGAAGAGACCAAUACCCGUGAAGCUUACCGCACCCUCAAAUUGGACUACGACAAGAAACUGAAGAAGCUCGCCCCCGCAAGAAAAAUCCGCAAGAAGACCAAAAGCCAAGGAUGUCAGACUGAGCAGAAGGAAGAGAACCCUCCUAGGAACCAGUCCGACACCGAGGUCAUGUCCCUGGCCAGCCUUGAUGACCUUCUCAAGGAAUUUGGGGACACUUUAGAGAAAGAGUUCGGGAGUACCCUAGGUAGCACUCGUGUGUGAUGAGCUUGUGGUAGCAGUAUGCUAUGUAAUGUAAUGGCUUGAUGUAAUGAAUAAAAUAACUAGUUAAAAAAAAUAUGGCAUGUGCAUAAUAGUGACCCUUUUCCCAUGGCAGAUGGCUUCGGAUAGAACCACGCCUACCGCCUCCGGGAUUGGAGCAAGACUUCCUCUAGGAGCUGAAGGAGAGGCUGGCGGAGAAGGGGGUGAGACCCACCUCCCCGCACCUCCAGAACUACCAUUAGACCUAGCCCAAGUUCUGGCCAAUCAAACCCGACUCAUUGAAGUCCUCACUCGAAGUCUGGAAAACCAGCGCCCAGGCGGUGGAAGGCCUCAGGACAGGAUGGGAGAAUUUUUAAGACUCAAGCCUCCCACGUUCGCGGGGUCCA
rnacentral:misc_RNA from 1 species